rnacentral:rRNA from 1 species
GAUGAACGCUGGCGGCGUGCCUAACACAUGCAAGUCGAGCGAUUUACUUCGGUAAAGAGCGGCGGACGGGUGAGUAACGCGUGGGUAACCUGCCCUGUACACACGGAUAACAUACCGAAAGGUAUGCUAAUACGAGAUAAUAUGCUUUUGUCGCAUGGUAGAAGUAUCAAAGCUUUUGCGGUACAGGAUGGACCCGCGUCUGAUUAGCUAGUUGGUAAGGUAACGGCUUACCAAGGCGACGAUCAGUAGCCGACCUGAGAGGGUGAUCGGCCACAUUGGAACUGAGACACGGUCCAAACUCCUACGGGAGGCAGCAGUGGGGAAUAUUGCACAAUGGGCGAAAGCCUGAUGCAGCAACGCCGCGUGAGCGAUGAAGGCCUUCGGGUCGUAAAGCUCUGUCCUCAAGGAAGAUAAUGACGGUACUUGAGGAGGAAGCCCCGGCUAACUACGUGCCAGCCGCCGCCGUAACAC